rnacentral:RNase_P_RNA from 1 species
UGGGUCGGCUAGACGGUCGCGGUAGUUGAAAAACUAACGAGGAACGUCCGGGCUCCAAAGAGCGCAGUGGUGGGUAACACCCACUCGGUGUGAACCGCAAGAAAGUGCAACAGAGAGUAAACCGCCACGCAAGUGGUAAGGCUGAAACGGUGGUGUAAGAG